rnacentral:snoRNA from 1 species
AUGCAUUUAUUUGGCAGACCCAAGGCAGUUGCUGUCUGCUUCUAAGGUUUCCAUUACAGAUGCAAGAAGAAAGUUUCCUCAUGCUUUCUGUCUGUCUAACUGUGCCAGCCAAGAUUGAAUAGAGGAACACAGAG